rnacentral:ncRNA from 1 species
UUUUGAAUUGAGCGCCGAGCUUCGCAGCCUAAACCUGAGUCAGGUAAUAACCCUGAAGGUAUGGUUGCCAGGCCGUAACCUGAUGCGUGUUGUGCGCAGGUUGCCAGGGUUCAUACAGAAAUGUCUGGGCCUCCCGUAUUUGGAAAGGUGUGAGAUGCGACCAUUA